rnacentral:rRNA from 1 species
GGAGGUAGUGACAAUAAAUCUCAAUACGAAGCCUUUGGUUUUGUAAUUGAAUUGAGAACAAUGUACAAUCGUUAUCGAUAAACAAUUGGAGGGCAAGUCUGGUGCCAGCAGCCGCGGUAAUUCCAGCUCCAAUAGCGUAUAUUAACGUUGUUGCAGUUAAAAAGCUCGUAGUUGAAGUUUAGAUAAUUUGUUGAGGGUGUUAGUAUUCGUACUAUCUGCCCUCAAUAGAUUAUCGACUUCCAGGUAAGCUCAAUAAUCCCUCCGGGGACUAUCGAGCCAGACUGGUCUUUUACUGUGAGAAAAUUAGAGUGUUUAAAGCAGACUUUUAUUUAGUUUGAAUAGAUUAGCAUGGAAUAAUAAGAUUGGCUUUCAUAGUCGAUUUUUUGGUUUGUUUAUGAAAGCAAGAUUAAUAGGGACAGUUGGGGGUAUUCAUAUUCAAUAGCUAGAGGUGAAAUUCUAUGAUUUAUGGAAGAUGAACAAGUGCGAAAGCA